GAGCUAAAAUAUAAGUGAGGAGUGUGCACGGAUGCUGAAUGUUUGGGAAUGAGAGGAUAAAUGAGUGAUGCUUGAAAACACACCACAUUGAAAAUCCUGCCACGGCAGCAGCUGCAGCCACCAACAGCAGCGCUGUUAGUGACCUAAGUAAGCACCGACUUCGUAGAAACCAGAACAUCAGCCAUCCUGGAAAAGAGAAAAACAAUGGAGUCACUUAUUUAAGAAAAACAAAAAACAAACAAAAACAAACAAAAAAAACCACAACUAUUUCUUCCCAGGAGAGGCUAGAAGUAGCUUUUCUGCCUUCUGGCUGGAGCCAAUUGGAAUGACUGGUUUGGGCGAGGAGGAGGGGUUGUGUCAGCUGUGGUGCUUUGUUGUAAAAGGCAGCCUGACCUUUGCUACUGAGGAGAAAGAUGGAGCCGAGUCUCAAGCCCCCCUUCUCUGUAUCUUUGCCAGAUGGUACUGUAUGCCUGCCAGCUAGAAGGAAGAAUGUGAGCUCUGCAGUGUCAGGUGUCUUGAAACUGGAUCAUGCACCCAGAGAUGCUCUCCUGAGGCCCAGACCACCACUGCCAGCCAUGGGGGAGGAGUGGCGUUGGCGAUUCAGGACUGCUUUUUCUGUCUCUUCAGUGCCUCUCUCAGCAACAUGAAGGUAAAACCAGGUUACACCUGUGGCCACAUGGAGGAGUCCUAAAUGACCAACUGAAGGAGAAGCAAAAAACCGAAGCAUGGCUUAUAAUGGGCCUGCUCAGUGUUUAGGCGCCAGCCAAAAAUGGGCAGCAGCUACCUUGCAGCCACACUCCAGGGUGAACUUGCAAGACUUCAACAAAUGGUACAUCUGUUCAGGUACUUUGUGUAGAAGGAAAAAUGAUCUGAGGUGAGCUGAAAUUAUUUUGAUUUUUAUCUGACAGAGGACAGGAGCCACAUUUUAAUCAUUUCCACAUCCCUACCACCAAAGAAGGACUCCACAAAUGUCUGUAUUUGAAUAGAGUGCCUAUUUAUGAUUAUCUCAUUGAAUAGAAAUAUAUUUGCCAUUUUAACAGAGAGUAAUGUAAUGAUGUCUUCUUACUUCUUACCUCCAAGUUUUUAUAAUCUUGGUAAUAAAGGCAAAGGCAUAAGAUGACUUGCCUGAAGAUAAAUGUAGUUGUAAUAGCAUUUCACUUAGGUUUGAGUGAGUAUGUCUGUCCUAAGAGUUUUUGUGAACUAUAAACUUCUUUAGAAGAAGAGACUUUCAAUAUAGAAUUUUUCUUACCGCCCCCCCCCCCCGCAAAAAAAGCAUAAAAAUGAAACAUAAAUAAAAUGCUCUAUCCAUGAGGGGCUGAACUUAGAAUGUAGAUCCUCUGAUUCAAGGUUGGAGGUUAGACUACCCCCACUGGGCUUUGGAGAAAUCCAACUGCAGUAACAGAAAAUAGCUCUUGACAGCUUCUCAGUACCUUUGACUGCUGGGUGCGAAGAACCCAGCUCGUCAUUAUGCUUUCCAGAGAGGGAGCUGGAGUUGGAGAGCAUAGUCUCCACUUUCCUGUUGGUAAUUUCUAUUCCUAUGGAGCAAAGGAAUGACAGUGACCUAUAAGGUCCCUGGUGGUGUGAGACUAGGGCCAGAAGGUCAGUGAGAAAAAGAACACUGCAUUAGUUUGAAUCUAUAUGGAAGGGAUGAAAAAUGUAAGAAAGUCAAACACUCUGAAUCUUAUACCACAGCAUGCAUUUAAAAUAAAAUAGUAAUGAAUAUGUAUUGUUUGAAAGUUUAGAAUAGUUUUGAACAUAUCAAUUUAUUUGAUGUAAUCUUCAAGACAUUUCUGUGUGGCAAGUAUUGCCAUUUCUAAUUCUAUAUGUGGACUCAGAGGAGCUAAUAACUUUCUCAAUAUCAUCCAGCAAUUGAGUAGUGAAGAAAGCAAGAAUAGUAGUUUCCAUCAAGAUCUUAAAUUUACAUCUUUUCUUUCCUUUUCUUCUGGCAAUGGGUAAACAUAAACAGGGGAGUACUGGCAGUAAUUGUGGUUUUAGAACAAUGUGGGUAACUUCAUGCACAAGACAAGAUGGAUGUCACCAUUAAAAAUAAAUACAGUAGAAAAUAUAAUCAUUCCUUUGGGCCAUUUAUACUUAAAUGAAAGAGUAUAGAAAAUUUAGAGUCUUGCAUGUGAGCCCAGACACUAAAUUAUUCCAAUAUGUACAUAUUUGGGAACAUCUACAUUACUAAUUGCUCUACUGGCUUCCAAGUGGAGAAAUUUUAUCCAAAAGUUGCUUAGUAAUUACUUUAUCUUUGAGAAUUGGCAUUCCUUGAUUGUCUGAUAUGCUUUGUUAAUAAUGAAAAUACUUC